GACGAACGCUGGCGGCGUGCUUAACACAUGCAAGUCGAACGGAAAGGCCCUGCUUUUGUGGGGUGCUCGAGUGGCGAACGGGUGAGUAACACGUGAGUAACCUGCCCUUGACUUUGGGAUAACGUCAGGAAACUGGGGCUAAUACCGGAUAGGAGCUCCUGCGGCAGGGGGGGGGUUGGAAAGUUUCGGCGGGGGGGGAUGGACUGGCGGCUUAACAGCUUGUUGGUGGGGUAGUUGCUUACCAAGGCUUCGACGGGUAUGCGGCCUGAGAGCGGGGCCGGGCACCAGAGGACUAAGAUAGGGACCAGACUCGAACUUGAGGCAGUGGUGGGAAGUAUGACCCAGUAAGCCGGAGUGUGAUACGACGGCCUCGGGUGCGUAAUGACGGUCUUCGGGUUAUGAACCGCUUUCGCCUGAGACGUAGCGUGAGUGACGGUAAUGGGUGAAGAAGCACCGGCUAACUACGUG
rnacentral:rRNA from 1 species